rnacentral:rRNA from 1 species
CCCCAGUUCGGAUCGCAGCCUGCAACCCGGCUGCGUGAAGCUGGAAUCGCUAGUAAUCGCGGAUCAGAAUGCCGCGGUGAAUACGUUCCCGGGUCUUGUACACACCGCCCGUCACACCAUGGGAGUCGCCAACACCCGAAGUCCGCUUUUGCGGCCUAAGGUGGGGGGAGAUNAUUGGGGUUAAGUCGUAACAAGGUACC